GUCGAACGGAAACCUUCGGGUUUUAGUGGCGAACGGGUGAGUAACACGUAAGCAACCUACCCUAAAGACGAGGAUAACCAUUGGAAACAGUGGCUAAGACUGGAUAGGAAGAUAAAAGGCAUCUUGUAUCUUUUAAAAGACCUAGUUAAUAGGUAUGCUUUAGGAGGGGCUUGCGCCAUAUUAGUUAGUUGGUAGGGUAAUGGCCUACCAAGACGAUGAUGUGUAGCUGGACUGAGAGGUUGAACAGCCACAUUGGGACUGAGACACGGCCCAAACUCCUACGGGAGGCAGCAGUAGGGAAUUUUCGGCAAUGGAGGAAACUCUGACCGAGCAACGCCGCGUGAAUGACGAAGUACUUCGGUAUGUAAAGUUCUUUUAUCGAGGAAGAAAAGCAAAUGGCGAACCAUUUGUUUGCCGGUACUUGAUGAAUAAGCCCCGGCUAAUUAUGUGCCAGCAGCCGCGGUAAGACAUAAGGGGCAAGUGUUAUCCGGAAUUAUUGGGCGUAAAGGGUGCGUAGGCGGUCUAGUAAGUCAGUGGUGUAAUGGCAACGCUUAACGUUGUCCGGCUAUUGAAACUGCUAAACUUGAGUUAGAUAGAGGCGAGUGGAAUUCCAUGUGUAGCGGUAAAAUGCGUAAAUAUAUGGAGGAACACCAGAGGCGUAGGCGGCUCGCUGGGUCUUAACUGACGCUGAGGCACGAAAGCGUGGGGAGCAAACAGGAUUAGAUACCCUGGUAGUCCACGCCGUAAACGAUGAGUACUAAGUGUCGGGUUAAACCGGUACUGAAGUUAACACAUUAAGUACUCCGCCUGAGUAGUACGUACGCAAGUAUGAAACUUAAAGGAAUUGACGGGACUCCGCACAAGCGGUGGAUCAUGUUGUUUAAUUCGAAGAUACCCGAAAAACCUUACCAGGUCUUGACAUGUUUUUGCAAAAUGAUAGUAAUAUCGUGGAGGUUACCAGAAACACAGGUGGUGCAUGGUUGUCGUCAGCUCGUGUCGUGAGAUGUUAGGUUAAGUCCUAAAACGAGCGAAACCCUUAUCGUUAGUUGCCAGCACGUUAUGGUGGGGACUUUAACGAGACUGCCAAUGAUAAAUUGGAGGAAGGUGAGGAUCACGUCAAAUCAGCAUGCCCCUUAUGACCUGGGCUACAAACGUGAUACAAUGGCUGUUACAAAGGGUAGCUGAAACGCAAGUUCUUGGCCAAUCCCCAAAAACAGUCCCAGUCCGGAUUGAAGUCUGCAACUCGACUUCAUGAAGUUGGAAUCGCUAGUAAUCGCGAAUCAGCAUGUCGCGGUGAAUACGUUCUCGGGGUUUGUACACACCGCCCGUCAAACCACGAAAGUUGGCAAUACCCCAAAACGGUAGCCUAACUCGUUUAUUCGAGAGGGCGCCGUCUAAGGUAGGGUCGAUGAUUGGGGUUAAGUCGUAACAAGGUAUCCCUACCGGAAGGUGGGGAUGGAUCACCU
rnacentral:rRNA from 1 species